GCAACUCUGAGCCCUUAUCCAGCCAGAGCUCAACACUUAUCUGCUACCAGUCAACCCCUAAAAAUAGCCCAUGAUGUCACCCCAAGGCCUUUCCAUUGGCUCGCGUCGCUCUCAGGGGGGCGGGCCCGCCCGUCGCCAUGGAGACCCACCCUAGAAGAUUCUUCACCGGACCCGCGGAGGCUCACGGGAUGAGACUACCAAAUGGACCAUAUCUGCAGGGAUACUUAAAACUGGCCAAGAAACUUGAACAUGUGGUCUACGCUUGUAGAUUGGAAGCAAAGUGAAGAGGGAGCAGCCAUUUGGGGCAGAAAGUGGAAACAAUGCAUUGAAGAAAGCAGAACAAGAAGACAGGAAGAGUCUGGAUCUCUGCCACUGUGAAGUGCUAUCCCAGUCCAAGAUCACCUCUCUCUAGGCUUCUGUUAUAUGUGAAAGAAUUAAAUAUCAUGAUUAUUGUGAGUUUUCUGUCAUAUACAGCUGACUAUAAU